rnacentral:rRNA from 1 species
UUCCAUCUGGAAGAAUCUGGAGACAAGGUGCUGCAUGGCUGUCGUCAGCUCGUGUCGUGAGAUGUUGGGUUAAGUCCCGCAACGAGCGCAACCCUUGCCUUUAGUUGCCAGCAGUUCGGCUGGGCACUCUAAAGGGACUGCCGGUGUUAAACCGGAGGAAGGUGGGGAUGACGUCAAGUCCUCAUGGCCUUUAUGACCAGGGCUACACACGUACUACAAUGGCCGAUACAAAGGGCAGCGACACUGCGAGGUGAAGCCAAUCCCGUAAAAUCGGUCUCAGUCCGGAUUGGAGUCUGCAACUCGACUCCAUGAAGUUGGAAUCGCUAGUAAUCGUGGAUCAGCAUGCCACGGUGAAUACGUUCCCGGGCCUU